AUUGAACGCUGGCGGCAGGCUUAACACAUGCAAGUCGAGCGGGGAAGGGUAGCUUGCUACCUAACCUAGCGGCGGACGGGUGAGUAAUGCUUAGGAAUCUGCCUAUUAGUGGGGGACAACAUUCCGAAAGGAAUGCUAAUACAGCAUACGCCCUACGGGGGAAAGCAGGGGAUCUUCGGACCUUGCGCUAAUAGAUGAGCCUAAGUCAGAUUAGCUAGUUGGUGGGGUAAAGGCCUACCAAGGCGACGAUCUGUAGCGGGUCUGAGAGGAUGGUCCGCCACACUGGGACUGGGACACGGCCCAGACUCCUACGGGAGGCAGCAGUGGGGAAUAUUGGACAAUGGGCGAAAGCCUGAUCCAGCCAUGCCGCGUGUGUGAAGAAGGCCUUUUGGUUGUAAAGCACUUUAAGCGAGGAGGAGGCUACCGAGAUUAAUACUCUUGGAUAGUGGACGUUACUCGCAGAAUAAGCACCGGCUAACUCUGUGCCAGCAGCCGCCGUAAGAC
rnacentral:rRNA from 1 species